AAGCGGCGUAGGCUCCCCUUUCGUGUCGGUUUUCAAACGCUCCCUCUUCCUCCUUCGGUCCGAGAAUGAAUGAAAUGACGUCACGCUCAGGCGAACGCCAGCAGCCAAAGGAUCAAAGUGCGCAGUCGGAUGCGGGCGGCGUAGCUUUAAGUCACAAACUGCAAUUAUUUCCUAGCUAGCUGGAAGCCAAUUUUCAGGGGGUGGGUGGAUAAAGUUGUAAUAGCGCCCACGUGCUUCUACGGAUUGAGGGUGUGGUGAGGUUUUUUGUUUUUUGGGGUGGGUGGGUAAGGCGGUAGCCACCAGCAAAUCGCCUUGCUCGCCUGAUUUUUAUGAGCCUCUGGGGAGUUUACCGUACAGGGCAGAAUGCGGCCGCCUCUUAAAAAAUGCAUCCAAUUUGGUGCCCUCCAAGUCUUUUGCGAGUGCAAUUAUCUAAAUUCUCAAAGGCCAACGAGGCCAAAGGACAAGUUGAGAAUGACCAGAGUUGUCGUUUCAGUAUAUUUGGAAGACUUCAGAUGAAAUCGAGGAUGGUCAUACUGUGUUCGAUAUACCGUAUUUUUCAGACUAUAAGAAACACCGGUGUAUAAGAUGCACCAAGAUUUCGGAGAGAUGCCUGUUCCCAAUAUGAAUGACUACGAAAAAAUGGAUUACAUAGAGAAAUAACCUAAUCUGGUUUAAGACCAAACCAGACUGCUUCUAGGGAAACUACAAUUUUGUGGGACUCUUUAAGAGCUAAAUAAUUAGCAUCCUGCAUAAAAUAAGUAGUAAAACCUGUUUAUUCUGAAGAGUACAUUGUGUGACACCAAUGUGGUAAGUAAAAUUUCAAGGGCAGAAUGAUGACAGAAGAGAUACAUUAUUUUGAAUAUUUGCUUGUCUGAACAGGUUUGUAGAACCUAAAAUUAUUAGUAAGUAAAAAGAUGGUGCCUCCAAAGUUUUCUAUACUGACAACAUAACUUGACACAUAUAAGAAUACUCAAGUGGAUUGAAGUUCUAACACUUUUUUUGAAUAAAUGUUUGGGUAAAACUAAAUUUUACUUGUUUCAUAAACAUGCAGUAUUCUGAACAAGGCUAUAUAUACACAGAUAGAUAACAGAAUAAAGAUUUAACUACUGUAGCAGUUAGAAAAAAAAUGCACUCCUUUGUAGGCAUCAGUGUGGAUUCAUCAAAAUAACCUUGUCCCUUUUAGGCAGUGUGCCUAAUUUAUUUGAUCACAACAAUAUAAAUACAUUGGUUUUGGCAAAAUAUUUAUUUAUUUAUUUAUUUCAGGGGUGUCAUACUCGAUUUCAUUGAGGGCUUGUGUUUAACCUCAGGGGACGAGUGGGCGUGGCCAGGGUGGGCGUUGUCCCUCGUGGCAGGGGCGCCUGUGAUGGCCCAAGCACUCUGCCAGCGAAAACGGGCUCCCAAGCCCCAUUUCCAGCUGCAGUGGCCUCUUGCAACCCUCUGCCACACACCAAACGGGAUUCUGUUUUCACUGGCCGAAGCACCGCGGGCCAAUUCUGUUUCCAGGAUAGCCCUGCUGACCAGAUCUAAGCACCCUGCGGGCUGCAUUUGGCCCCCAGGCCUUGAGUUUGACACUCCUGGUUUAUUUAUUCAAUUUCUAAACUACCCCCAUCUCAGUCUGGGAGACUUAGAUUCAGAAAAGAAACAAAUAUUACAAUUAAAAAUACUAAUAAAAUUUUAAAACAAUAAAAACACUAAACAUUCAGAUUAAUAGUUGAAAAUCUCUCAUGAUAUUCUCAUAGAGAAGAUGGCAUAAUGGAUGCUAAACUAUGCUAUGAUUAGCUGAACAUCCAUAUCAUUGUAUUUACAAUUCUACAGGAAGCUAAGGGGAAGUGUUAAGUGUUGAACUGACUGUAUUCAGAAGACAGCAAGAGAAGUGAUGAAGGACCCAAAAGGAAACACUUAUAAGACUAACACAUUUGGAAGGGAUCGUGUAGGUCAUCUAGUCCAACCCCCUGCCCAAACAGGAGACUCUACACCAUUUAUGAAAUUUAUGUCUCUU